ACGAACGCUGGCGGCGUGCUUAACACAUGCAAGUCGAACGGAAAGGCCCUGCUUUUGUGGGGUGCUCGAGUGGCGAACGGGUGAGUAACACGUGAGUAACCUGCCCUUGACUUUGGGAUAACUUCAGGAAACUGGGGCUAAUACCGGAUAGGAGCUCCUGCUGCAUGGUGGGGGUUGGAAAGUUUCGGCGGUUGGGGAUGGACUCGCGGCUUAUCAGCUUGUUGGUGGGGUAGUGGCUUACCAAGGCUUUGACGGGUAGCCGGCCUGAGAGGGUGACCGGCCACAUUGGGACUGAGAUACGGCCCAGACUCCUACGGGAGGCAGCAGUGGGGAAUAUUGCACAAUGGGCGGAAGCCUGAUGCAGCAACGCCGCGUGCGGGAUGACGGCCUUCGGGUUGUAAACCGCUUUCGCCUGUGACGAAGCGUGAGUGACGGUAAUGCGUAAAGAAGCACCGGCUAACUACGUG
rnacentral:rRNA from 1 species